rnacentral:rRNA from 1 species
GAUGAACGCUGGCGGCGUGCCUAAUACAUGCAAGUUGAGCGCUGAAGGUUGGUACUUGUACCACCUGGGUGAGCAGCGAACGGGUGAGUAACGCGUGGAGAAUCUGCCUUUGAGCGGGGGACAACAUCUGGAAACGAAUGCUAAUACCGCAUAAUAUCUUUAAACACAAGUUUUAAGAUUGAAAGAUGCAAUUGCAUCACUCAAUAGUGAUCCCGCGUUGGAUUAGCUAGUUGGUGAGGGAAAGGCCCACCAAGGGCAAGAUACAUAGCCGACCUGGAGGGGUGAUCGGGCAAAAUGGGAAUUGAGAACGGGCCAAACUCCUAAGGGAGGCAGCCAGAGGGAAUCUUCGGCAAUGGAGGGAAGUCUGGCCGGGCAACGCCGGGGGGGUGAAGGAGGGUUUCGGAUCGUAAAACUCUGUUUGUAAGGAAGAAAGAUGGUGAGAGUGAAAAGCUCAUCAAGUGACGGUAACUACCCAGAAAGGGACGGCUAACUACGUG